rnacentral:rRNA from 1 species
AUUGAACGCUGGCGGCAUGCUUUACACUUGCAAGUCGAACGGUAACAGGUUAAGCUGACGAGUGGCGAACGGGUGAGUAAUGCAUCGGAACGUGCCCGGUCGUGGGGGAUAACGCAGCGAAAGUUGCGCUAAUACCGCAUACGAUCUGAGGAUGAAAGCGGUGGACCGUAAGGCCUCGCGCGAUCGGAGCGGCCGAUGUCAGAUUAGGUAGUUGGUGGGGUAAAGGCUCACCAAGCCAACGAUCUGUAGCUGGUCUGAGAGGACGACCAGCCACACUGGGACUGAGACACGGCCCAGACUCCUACGGGAGGCAGCAGUGGGGAAUUUUGGACAAUGGGCGAAAGCCUGAUCCAGCAAUGCCGCGUGCAGGAAGAAGGCCUUCGGGUUGUAAACUGCUUUUGUACGGAGCGAAAAGGUCUCCUCUAAUACAGGGGGCUCAUGACGGUACCGUAAGAAUAAGCACCGGCUAACUACGUGCCAGCCGCCGCGGUAA